CAGGAAGUGCUCAGUUUGGGUGUGGAAUAUACAGCUAACUGCUGAGGUUACUAGUUAUGUGAUCAUCGGGUAUUUUAUUUUUAUUUUUUUUUCUCUUUAGUAGGACUCCCCAAAAGUAAAAUAACUGCUUAUUUCUUUUAAACUAAUAAGGAUGCUCCAGUCCAGAAGAAGGUAUCUGAGAAUAAUUGUGAAGAAUCCUCAUGUCCAAGGUGAAGAAGGAUUAUCAUAAGUAGGACAAAGGCAGGGCAGGGACUUACCAUAAGGAUGUAAGCCUAUAAAUGGAUCAUUGACUGACAGCUGCUGCUUAAGAAAAGAGAAAUCGAGUUGCUGUUACUUGAACAUCUGAAGAUGAAUUCAUCUAUGUCUGUGGUACCACAUGACCUCUGUAUUCCACAGCCUUUCUCCUAGUAAUCUGAAAGCUCAAGGAACUGUAAAUUCAAGUGUCUAAAUAUGUGAAUGUAGUUGAACUGUACUAGAUUUCCACCCUAGAUCAUGCAAUGUCCAGAAUUCUCUAUGUUUUUUGUGGCUCUGUCAGAAACUUUAGAUCCUGACGUGUACUACACUGAACCUGUAUUUUCCCUCACUCCUUUUUGAAGAGGAAUUUUCAUGUGCACCGAAUGUGAGAGGAAUAUGGAGCACCAGAAGAAAACUCAGCUACAGACCAUCACUACCUGGGCCAUUCCCAGAGGUCAAAAUUCAACACCAGGCCAUGGGAUGCAAAAUAAAAUAUAUAUGCAUUACACAUUAAGUUACUGGCAUAUUCAGAGACAAUUAAUUCAGAGCAUUGUGAAAAAUAGCAACAGUGGUGAAGCACAGUGAGACAGUGAUUCAGAGAUAAGUAAACAGAGUGCACCAGAAGAGAAAUUGCAUGGUAUGCAUAAUAUACAAAUUAUUAUAUAAUGGGAUAUAAGUCAAUGUCAUCAUGUUAAUGAGAUUCAUUCCAUAUGUGGGUGAUAAAAUCAAACACUGAGUGAUUCAGAGAUGUAUAAAUGUAGCAGUGAGAAUCAUGAUUCUUGUCUGUUCUUGAUUUCCAGAAUUUCUCAGUUUACAAAAGCUUAAUUUGUGUAGUAGUGUUAGGUGUAGCAUCAAUGUUAACUGAGUGGCAUGUGUUAAUAGCUGCUUUUAUAGCCAGUGUCCUUGGUAUUGCAUUGCAUCACCCUUCACAUUGCAGAAGGGUAUGCCAGCACCUGACCUACCAUCACUUAUAUGACCAGGCCAUUGUUAACUAAUAUGUGGACAGCGUCACCAUGUGAAAGUUAGUAGACAUGUGACAUUCACACAUGAAAUAAAGGCGGAUGUAUGGACUACCUAUCUAAGUGAGCACAAUGGGUUAUGUAGCAUUAACAUACAUGAUAUGGGGAAUGUUUCGGUGUACUACAUGAGAUGCAGUAGAAGUUUCACAGGUAUUAGCAUUGCAGAUUCUACACCAGUUUCUUGACUAUGAUGCUGUAUGUGAAGAAUAUAGUUUCCAUAGACAACAGUGGAGAGAACUAUCAGUAUACAGGUAUUGUACAACAUACUCAAUUUCCCUGUAGUCUUGAGGGCCAUCGAUUGUAUAUACACUACCAGUAAGGCCUCCCCCCUGCUCUUCAAGGUGUCUGGUAUGUCAACCAAAAGGGCUCCCAUUCCAUUAACUGCUAGGUAGUAUAAAGCACAGCAGAUAUGAUAUACAGUGUAUCUGUGCACGAGCCAGACAAUGCCAGUGAUUUCCACUCCCAGUACAUAUGAUGUAUGGCUGUGUUUUGUGUACUCUGACCUUCCAAAGUGUAAUCUAGUCAUUAGGUGUACACAUUACAUGUUCUAUAAUGCACAAUAUGACUUUUAACUGUGGCUGAUGACAAAAAUUAAAAUGCAGGUGUCUGUACUGCUGCUUGCUGGUGCCUUGCUAAAAUAAAGGUCUGAUUAUUGCACUGAA